rnacentral:rRNA from 1 species
AUUGAACGCUGGCGGCAGGCCUAACACAUGCAAGUCGAACGGUAACAGGAAGAAGCUUGCUUCUUUGCUGACGAGUGGCGGACGGGUGAGUAAUGUCUGGGAAACUGCCUGAUGGAGGGGGAUAACUACUGGAAACGGUAGCUAAUACCGCAUAACGUCGCAAGACCAAAGAGGGGGACCUUCGGGCCUCUUGCCAUCGGAUGUGCCCAGAUGGGAUUAGCUAGUAGGUGGGGUAACGGCUCACCUAGGCGACGAUCCCUAGCUGGUCUGAGAGGAUGACCAGCCACACUGGAGCUGAGACACGGUCCAGACUCCUACGGGAGGCAGCAGUGGGGAAUAUUGCACAAUGGGCGCAAGCCUGAUGCAGCCAUGCUGCGUGUAUGAAGAAGGCCUUCGGGUUGUAAAGUACUUUCAGCGGGGAGGAAGGGAGUAAAGUUAAUACCUUUACUCAUUGACGUUACCCGCAGAAGAAGCACCGGCUAACCCCGUG